GACGAAGGGGGCUAGCGUUGUUCGGAAUUACUGGGCGUAAAGCGAGUGUAGGCGGUUGUUCAAGUCAGGUGUGAAAGCCUUGAGCUCAACUCAAGAAAUGCACUUGAUACUGGAUGACUAGAGGACCGGAGAGGAUAGUGGAAUUCCCAGUGUAGUGGUGAAAUACGUAGAGAUUGGGAAGAACACCAGUGGCGAAGGCGGCUAUCUGGACGGUUACUGACGCUAAAGACUCGGAAAGCGUGGGGAGCAAACACGG
rnacentral:rRNA from 1 species